GGCAGCCGAAGCGGCGGGCCCUGCGCAGUCCUGCUCCGCGCACGCGCCCCGCGACCUCCCGGUGCUGACAGCGCGAGCGCGCGGCCCCGCGGGAGCAGCACGUUCCAGGAACAUACAUAAGGAAGGCAUCUGGCAUUGUGUGCUGGCGUCUGCUGAGAGUUGGUGCUAAUCCAGUCCAUCUGCGCUUUCAGCACUUGUCCCCAG